rnacentral:rRNA from 1 species
CGACUAAGCGUACACGGUGGAUGCCUUGGCAGUCAGAGGCGAUGAAGGACGUGCUAAUCUGCGAUAAGCGCCGGUAAGGUGAUAUGAACCGUUAUAACCGGCGAUUUCCGAAUGGGGAAACCCAGUGUGACUCGUCACACUAUCAUUAACUGAAUCCAUAGGUUAAUGAGGCGAACCGGGGGAACUGAAACAUCUAAGUACCCCGAGGAAAAGAAAUCAACCGAGAUUCCCCCAGUAGCGGCGAGCGAACGGGGAGGAGCCCAGAGCCUGAAUCAGCAUGUGUGUUAGUGGAAGCGUCUGGAAAGGCGCGCGAUACAGGGUGACAGCCCCGUACACAAAACGCAUGUGCUGUGAGCUCGAUGAGUAGGGCGGGACACGUGGUAUCCUGUCUGAAUAUGGGGGGACCAUCCUCCAAGGCUAAAUACUCCUGACUGACCGAUAGUGAACCAGUACCGUGAGGGAAAGGCGAAAAGAACCCCGGCGAGGGGAGUGAAAAAGAACCUGAAACCGUGUACGUACAAGCAGUGGGAGCCCCACCACCAAAGCAUUCUCUGGUGUUGAAGGCCCUGCAAAGCAGCAUCGCGGUGGCGGAGCGUCGUUUGCGACGCCCAACACACAAAACAAGCGGUGAGUGCUUUGGGGUGGGGUGACUGCGUACCUUUUGUAUAAUGGGUCAGCGACUUAUAUUCUGUAGCAAGGUUAACCGCAUAGGGGAGCCGUAGGGAAACCGAGUCUUAACCGGGCGUUAAGUUGCAGGGUAU